CCGCGCCCUGGCCUGGCACGAUGCCCACCGAGCCCCUCCCUUCUUUGCUGGAUGCUGCCUGAGACCUGACACAUAAGGCAUUGGGUGAAAGGACUGCCGGAGAGAGAAGGCCUUCACCAAACCGCACCCUUCAUGGAGGAAUUUCAGAACGUGUGGCAUGUAGAUGGAGAAGUUUGGAGAACAGGUCUCGAAGCACCUGGAGUCUUGUCUCAUCCUCUGGGCAGGUGAGGGCCAUCCAGUGCCCAGUGAGUGUCCACGGACGGAGAGACGGACAAACAACUCUAUGUCUAGGAGCUGGUGAGCCAAAGGGAAAGAAGAACACACAGACCCAAAAGUCCACAGCCCAGAAGGAGGAAAUGGCUGGGUCCCUGCCCCGUGAGGUGGAGAUAAAGCUCUGAGUGGAGCCGAGAGGCCACCAUGGCAACUGUUCUCUGCGUCCUUGGUGGCAGUGACCCAUCUGGCCUGUUUUUACACCACUGACAGUCGGCCCGCCCAAGGCUGGGAGAGGGAGGCCUGAGGAGAUUAGCAGGGAACCUGAGAGCAAGUCAGCCUGGAAUGGGACCGUGGUGCGGCCUGUAGGGGAGGAGUCUGGUCAGAGGAGAGCAGGUAUGUGGUGAGGCAUGGCCCCAGAAACCCACUGCUACAUCUCCAAGGGCAUCUCCAUGGUCACAAAACUCCUGGCUCUGGAGUCCAACUCCUGGGUUCAAGUCCCAGCUCCACCUUUCACUUACUGUGUGACUUUGAGCAAGUUACUUCCCCUCUCUGAGCCUCAUCUGGAGAAGGGAGGAAAGGAGACCACAAGGAGGUCUGUUUGGGGGCCGGACUGCUGGUGGGGAGCUGCGGCCCACAGGGCUGGAAGGCGCACUCACCCACAGGGCAUUCCUAGACCAGAACUCAGCCAAGGGCGGUCACCUGUGAAAUGGGAGCCACAGUCUGCUCUUGCAGACACCUGAGAGGAGCUGCUCAGGAAGGCUCCCCCUCAGCCUGGAUCUCGGUGUGCAGGGCUGAGCUGGAGGCAGUGCCCAGGGCCUCCAGGUGAAGACAGGCAGGGAGGUGGACAUGAGUGCAGCCCCUCGCUCAGGCGACUGGGGCUCAGAUCCCAACUUUACUGCUGACUAGCUGUGAACCUUGGGCAAGGUCUCAGCCUAACUGUGCCUUGGUUUACCCUUUGGAAAAUGCAGAUGAAAACAGUGAUGACCUCAUAGGAUGGUUGUGACGAUUAAAUGGGUUAAUACAGGUAAAACAGCGAUUAAAAUCUUAGCUUUCAAAUAAAGAUUAGAGCACCCCCUGAAUUCUUUUAACUUCUUUGG